rfam:Tersicoccus phoenicis strain 1p05MA scaffold74_cov337_read201, whole genome shotgun sequence.
GCACCAUCCCGAGCGGCCGAGAGAUCUGGAUCGAUGACGCCGCAGCAACCGUGGUCGAAGAACCGCUGACCACACGGUGCUACCGCCAGAAGCGAUGGAAG